UACGUAGGGACCUAGCGUUGUCCGGAAUCAUUGGGCGUAAAGCGCGCGUAGGCGGCCCGGUAAGUCCGUUGUAAAAGUCAAAGGCUCAACCUUUGAAAGCCGAUGGAUACUGCCGGGCUAGAGUACGGAAGAGGCGAGUAGAAUUCCUGGUGUAGCGGUGGAAUGCGCAGAUAUCAGGAGGAAUACCCAUAGCGAAGGCAGCUCGCUGGGACGUUACUGACGCUGAGGCGCGAAAAGCGUGGGGAGCGAACAGG
rnacentral:rRNA from 1 species